rnacentral:lncRNA from 1 species
UUUCAAUCGUUUGCAAGGUGACUGUCUGUUCCUAGAGCAAGUGACAAAGGAUUUGAUGGUUAGUACCUGAGACUCAAGUUCGAAUCCUACUUGAUUCACAUUUUAAAAAUCGUUUGCAAGGUGCAUAUACUCAUGUAACACUUAGUUAGAUCACACAUCAUUAUCAAAGAGAAAGAAUGUAACACUUAAUUAGAUCACACAUCAUUAUCAAAGAAAAAGAAAACAAAAUUCAAAAUAGCAAUUAUUCUCCUU